GGGUUUCAGAGGACACCAGUCAUGGCA
rnacentral:piRNA from 1 species